GCCCGGAUGUCGGAACUGGUAGACGAACACGACUCAAAAUCGUGCGGCCGCGAGGCCAUGAGGGUUCGAAUCCCUCUCUGGGCA
rnacentral:tRNA from 1 species